CAAGCAUCUACCUUAUUACCUAAUAUCAACGUGACUUCUAUUAGAUUACCUACAGUAUGUUCUUUUACAGAGAGUAGCUCAUAUUUUAACUGAGAAUUGCGUCUGUAAUUCCAUGCUCUCUGUAUUUUAAGUAGUUCGGUUCAGAGUUUAUUCAAAUCAACGUAGAGUCAAGCAUGCUAUCAUAUAAAUCUAAUCGCUAUACGGUCAGAAUGCAAAUGACAAACAAAUGUGCAAAGGUUAGGAUGGUGGGAGUGCCUCCGAAUAUGAGCCCAAUGAUGAUGGGGAGGCUGAUGAUGCCGAUGAGGUAUCUGGGGAGAAUAGAAGCAGGAGCCAGCUCUACAUAUGUCGAAUAAAAAAUCUGUACAUAGUAGUCAAAUAGUUUCAGAUUUAAGUUCGCCAACGCGCCUCGACUUGGCCCCAAACUGAACAGCCUUGCCAGUACAGCACAGAACGCCUUCAUAUUAGGGAGAACACUUCACGACAACUUUGUUCUAGUCAAGAAUUCUGCACGCUUGCUACACCAGCUCGGGGAUCCGCGGAUUCUGCUCAAGAUUGACUUGGCGCCUGCGUUUGUCUCCCUCUCUUGGCCCUUCCUCUUCGAGGUGCUGCGGCAAUAUGGUUUCAGCGAGAAGUUCCUUGGAUGGCUUGCUAUCUUGCUGGUUGUUGCUGUGUUGGGGCUGCUUGCUAUGCGGCUGGUUGAUUUCGUGCUUCUGGCUGCUUGUUGUACUGCCUGGCUGUUUAUGUGCUAGUGGAGCUACUUGAUGACUUGUUGUUGGUUAUUUGCUCCAUGAAAGUCAAUUACAUAUUUUACUUGCUAGGAAACUGCAAGCACAACCUGAAGAUGAGCACCUUGGUAUCUGGUACACACAGAUUGUGGCUGAAGUUCCAUAGGAGCACAUUUCCUCAAGCACCAUCCUUUCUAACAUGGGGUACCAAUAAGACCUAGGAGGUCUAGGACACCAACUAUUGCAGAACGCAUCCAGAGUUGGAAGAAAAAGUUGAACAACAGAAGAGCGGCAAUAGAGACAAAUGUGAUGUACCAACAACUGAGAGAGUUAAAAUGCAAUAGGAUGCACUUGAAUAGAUGUAAAGGAAGCGAUAAGAACUGUCGGAUAUGAAGAAGAGCUAAGAAGCAUAUGAAAAGAAGCAAGAUGAACACCACAACCUUAUCAGCUUCCUCGCAGGGAAACAUGCAACUCAAAACUACGCACCAUACUUGAUGGUGCUAUUCUAACAUGAACUUAGUUUGCUUGUUUCCAGUGAUGUCAAUUUUCUAGUGCAACCUAUUCAGUUAUGUACCAUGAUAUUUGGUGACUAAGAUAUAUAUUGAGAUUUUAAUGGUAAUUGAUUAUAUUUGUCAUA